rnacentral:rRNA from 1 species
UACGUAGGGGGCAAGCGUUGUCCGGAUUUACUGGGCGUAAAGCGCGCGUAGGCGGAAGGUGAAGCGUGGCCUGAAAGCCCCCGGCUCAACCGGGGGAGGGCGGCUGCGAACUGGCCUUCUUGAGAGCGAUAGAGGGGGGCGGAAUUCCUGGUGUAGCGGGUGAAAUGCGUAGAGAUCAGGAGGAACACCCGUGGCGAAGGCGGCCCCCUGGGUCGGCCCUGACGCUGAGGC